CUAGGUCUUCCUCUACCCCUUCGGCCCUGAACCUCUGUCCCAUAGUCGCAUCUUCUAAUCGGAACGUCAGUAUGCCUUCUUUGCACAUGUCCAAACCACCGUAACCGAUUUUCUCUCAUCUUUCCUCUUAUUUUAAUUUUCUCUCCUUUCUCAAAUAAUUUCUUUUAUUGUUUCAUUAGUAUUGUAUUUUAAAGAGUUAAAUUGUUGGGUUAAGGAAAGAAAGAAAAAAAAAAGGAAGAAACCUCCUUGUUUGGGUUUUAUGUAUCAUGGAAUUCAAGAGUGUGCUACAAAUCAAAAUUGAGGACCAAAAUUGAACAGAGAAAUAAACAAUAAUUAAAUGAACAAACAAGACAAUGGAAAAUGCAAAAAAUAAGUAACACUGGUCAUUGCUACAAACACCAUGCACAAAACCCAGAAAGCAUUUCGCAAACUCGCAUAACACUAACGAAAAGUGCAAGUGAAACAUCAAUGAACAUAGAUACACAGGCAGAGAAGCAAUUUCCACCCAAGUCUUACAAAU
rnacentral:lncRNA from 1 species